rnacentral:lncRNA from 13 species
UAACUCCAGCUACUCAGGAAAGCUGAGACAAGAGAAUUGCUUGAACCUGGGAGGCGGAAGUUGCAGUGAGCCGAGAUUGCACCACUGCACUCCAGCCUGGGCGGCAGAGCCAGACUUCCUCUCAAUAAAGGAAGAGGCAGGGUAGGGGCGUAGGCGGCGUGUAGGGGCAGAGGCGGGGUGUAGGGGCGGAGGCGGGGUGUAGGGGCGGAGGCGGGGUGUAGGGGCGGAGGCGGGGUGUAGGGGCGUAGGCGGAAGCCGGAAGCCGAGGAGAGGCGUACGGGCGUAAGCGUGGGAGACGUAGUGGAGGCAGAGGCGAGAUCCAAGUCAUUUGAUGAAUCAGCCUGCCAGGUACUUAUACAAUGGGCCUAUGUACAAAGUGGACGUGGCAGCAGAAUUUCAGGCCUUGGCAGAAAGACUUACAGAUGAAGGAAAAAGGAGAUACCUGACAAAGAUGAGGAAGAAAAGUUUCAAAUGCUCAGCGUUCAUCAGUACAAUAUAUGCAGUUUUCCAAUUUAUAUGUUAGCAUAUUCUCUAACAGGAUUACGUGUUUUAUGAACACACCAGAACAAAUUCUGUUGGAGUUUUAAAACUGAAAAUUAUAGCCUAAUGUAGAUUUUUAUUUGGGUCAUUUUCCAUAAUUGUUCAUUUUAAAAUUCCAAAAGGAGUUGCUUUCUAAUUGUAG